rnacentral:rRNA from 1 species
GGUUAAGCGACUAAGCGUACACGGUGGAUGCCCUGGCAGUCAGAGGCGAUGAAGGACGUGCUAAUCUGCGAAAAGCGCCGGCGAGGUGAUAUGAACCUUUGACCCGGCGAUGUCCGAAUGGGGAAACCCAGUGUGUUCCGACACACUAUCGUUAACUGAAUACAUAGGUUAACGAGGCGAACCGGGGGAACUGAAACAUCUAAGUACCCCGAGGAAAAGAAAUCAACCGAGAUUCCCCCAGUAGCGGCGAGCGAACGGGGAGCAGCCCAGAGUCUGAAUCAGCUUGUGUGUUAGUGGAAGCGUCUGGAAAGUCGCACGGUACAGGGUGACAGUCCCGUACACGAAAGCACACAGGUUGUGAACUCGAAGAGUAGGGCGGGACACGUGGUAUCCUGUCUGAAUAUGGGGGACCAUCCUCCAAGGCUAAAUACUCCUGACUGACCGAUAGUGAACCAGUACCGUGAGGGAAAGGCGAAAAGAACCCCGGCGAGGGGAGUGAAAAAGAACCUGAAACCGUGUACGUACAAGCAGUGGGAGCACCUUCGUGGUGUGACUGCGUACCUUUUGUAUAAUGGGUCAGCGACUUAUAUUCUGUAGCAAGGUUAACCGUAUAGGGGAGCCGAAGGGAAACCGAGUCUUAACUGGGCGUUAAGUUGCAGGGUAUAGACCCGAAACCCGGUGAUCUAGCCAUGGGCAGGUUGAAGGUUGGGUAACACUAACUGGAGGACCGAACCGACUAAUGUUGAAAAAUUAGCGGAUGACUUGUGGCUGGGGGUGAAAGGCCAAUCAAACCGGGAGAUAGCUGGUUCUCCCCGAAAGCUAUUUAGGUAGCGCCUCGUGAACUCAUCUUCGGGGGUAGAGCACUGUUUCGGCUAGGGGGCCAUCCCGGCUUACCAACCCGAUGCAAACUACGAAUACCGAAGAAUGUUAUCACGGGAGACACACGGCGGGUGCUAACGUCCGUCGUGAAGAGGGAAACAACCCAGACCGCCAGCUAAGGUCCCAAAGUCAUGGUUAAGUGGGAAACGAUGUGGGAAGGCACAGACAGCCAGGAUGUUGGCUUAGAAGCAGCCAUCAUUUAAAGAAAGCGUAAUAGCUCACUGGUCGAGUCGGCCUGCGCGGAAGAUGUAACGGGGCUAAACCAUGCACCGAAGCUGCGGCAGCGACGCUUAUGCGUUGUUGGGUAGGGGAGCGUUCUGUAAGCCGUUGAAGGUGUGCUGUGAGGCAUGCUGGAGGUAUCAGAAGUGCGAAUGCUGACAUAAGUAACGAUAAAGCGGGUGAAAAGCCCGCUCGCCGGAAGACCAAGGGUUCCUGUCCAACGUUAAUCGGGGCAGGGUGAGUCGACCCCUAAGGCGAGGCCGAAAGGCGUAGUCGAUGGGAAACAGGUUAAUAUUCCUGUACUUGGUGUUACUGCGAAGGGGGGACGGAGAAGGCUAUGUUAGCCGGGCGACGGUUGUCCCGGUUUAAGCAUGUAGGCGGAGGUUCCAGGUAAAUCCGGUACCUUUUAACGCUGAGGUGUGAUGACGAGGCACUACGGUGCUGAAGUAACAAAUGCCCUGCUUCCAGGAAAAGCCUCUAAGCAUCAGGUAACACGAAAUCGUACCCCAAACCGACACAGGUGGUCAGGUAGAGAAUACCAAGGCGCUUGAGAGAACUCGGGUGAAGGAACUAGGCAAAAUGGUGCCGUAACUUCGGGAGAAGGCACGCUGAUAUGUAGGUGAAGCCCCUGCGGGUGGAGCUGAAAUCAGUCGAAGAUACCAGCUGGCUGCAACUGUUUAUUAAAAACACAGCACUGUGCAAACACGAAAGUGGACGUAUACGGUGUGACGCCUGCCCGGUGCCGGAAGGUUAAUUGAUGGGGUUAGCGGCAACGCGAAGCUCUUGAUCGAAGCCCCGGUAAACGGCGGCCGUAACUAUAACGGUCCUAAGGUAGCGAAAUUCCUUGUCGGGUAAGUUCCGACCUGCACGAAUGGCGUAAUGAUGGCCAGGCUGUCUCCACCCGAGACUCAGUGAAAUUGAACUCGCUGUGAAGAUGCAGUGUACCCGCGGCAAGACGGAAAGACCCCGUGAACCUUUACUAUAGCUUGACACUGAACACUGGUCCUUGAUGUGUAGGAUAGGUGGGAGGCUUUGAAGCGUGGACGCCAGUCUGCGUGGAGCCGUCCUUGAAAUACCACCCUUUAAUGGCUGGUGUUCUAACGUAGACCCGUAAUCCGGGUUGCGGACAGUGUCUGGUGGGUAGUUUGACUGGGGCGGUCUCCUCCCAAAGAGUAACGGAGGAGCACGAAGGUUAGCUAAUCCUGGUCGGACAUCAGGAGGUUAGUGCAAUGGCAUAAGCUAGCUUGACUGCGAGAGUGACGGCUCGAGCAGGUGCGAAAGCAGGUCAUAGUGAUCCGGUGGUUCUGAAUGGAAGGGCCAUCGCUCAACGGAUAAAAGGUACUCCGGGGAUAACAGGCUGAUACCGCCCAAGAGUUCAUAUCGACGGCGGUGUUUGGCACCUCGAUGUCGGCUCAUCACAUCCUGGGGCUGAAGUAGGUCCCAAGGGUAUGGCUGUUCGCCAUUUAAAGUGGUACGCGAGCUGGGUUUAGAACGUCGUGAGACAGUUCGGUCCCUAUCUGCCGUGGGCGCUGGAGAAUUGAGGGGGGCUGCUCCUAGUACGAGAGGACCGGAGUGGACGCAUCACUGGUGUUCGGGUUGUCAUGCCAAUGGCACUGCCCGGUAGCUAAAUGCGGAAAAGAUAAGUGCUGAAAGCAUCUAAGCACGAAACUUGCCCCGAGAUGAGUUCUCCCUGAGACUUUAAGUCUCCUGAAGGAACGUUGAAGACGACGACGUUGAUAGGUCGGGUGUGUAAGCGCAGCGAUGCGUUGAGCUAACCGAUACUAAUGAACCGUGAGGCUUAACCUU